rnacentral:piRNA from 1 species
UCCUUUCUUAGUGUUCUUCCUUGAGGCGA